UCAUGGUCUAUACAGCAUCAUGGCUUAUCCCCCAUACUCUCUGGCAUUUGAAACACGUACUUCCACCCACACCAUGAAACGGGAACUUGACAUGACCAACGGAAUUUUAAAAUGCCAAAAAGCUAGCAACAAUAUUACUGGCUGCUAAACACGUCCAAGUCCCCUUACCUAGCAUUUAGACAUCAUCUGAUGACUUAGGUAAUCAUGUAUUUAAUCUUUUGUUUUUAUAUAAACUCUG
rnacentral:lncRNA from 1 species